CGAGAUUCUAUCCUAUUAAUUAGUAGGCGGAUCGUUUAAAACUUUUUACGAGGCGUUUCGGGCUGAAUCGCUGUUACUAACACUCUGUGUAUAUCCUAAGAGCAAGCUGACACUUUACUGCUACCGUAAUAUAAUGCGCGCCAGUCUGGGCCAUUGGUAGAUUUGUUGUGAUGUCGGUGAGGGACGAGGUAACAUGGGGGAUAAAUGACACGAUUCAUCACCCGUUUCUUUCUCUAAAAGAAAAUACGUCCGUCUUAUAAAAAUUCUUCUUAAAGGCAUAAAUGGCGAACCCUAGCCAAACGAGAAAGAGCAAUAACAGGUCUGUGAUGCCCUUAGAUGUCCUGGGCAGCACGCGCGCUACAAUGUAGUGCUCAACGUGCCAUUAUUUUCCAUAAAUAAGCCAUUUCUGAAAAGAUAUGGGAACCAUCGUAACACACUACAUGGUUGGGAUUGGUAAUUGUAAUUAUUUGCCAUGAACCAGGAAUUCCUAGUAAAACGUGGAUCAUUCAGUUCGCGUUGAUUAAGUCCCUGCCCUUUGUACACACCGCCCGUCGCUACUACCGAUUGAAUGGUUAAGUAAGGUCAUUGGACUAUCACUUUAUAAACGUUAUACGAGUCGUCUCUCUAUGACAUAUAAAAGUUGAUAGGAAGAUGUCCGAAUUGGAUCAUUUAGAGGAAGUAAA
rnacentral:rRNA from 1 species